GACGAACGCUGGCGGCGUGCUUAACACAUGCAAGUCGAACGAAGUGGCGAACGGGUGAGUAACGCGUAAUCAACCUGCCCUUCAGAGGGGGACAACAGUUGGAAACGACUGCUCAUACCGCAUACUGAAGGAGGGGAUUGCGUCGGAUGAGCUAGUUGGAGGAGUAACGGCCCACCAAGGCGAUGAUCAGUAGCCGGUCUGGGAGGAUGAACGGCCACAUUGGGACUGAGACACGGCCCAGACUCCGACGGGAGGCAGCAGUGGGGAAUAUUGCACAAUGGGCGCAAGCCUGAUGCAGCCAUGCCGCGUGGAUGAAGAAGGCCUUCGGGUUGUAAAGUACUUUCAGCGGGGAGCGGUACCAACAGAAUAAGCACCGGCUAACUUCGUGCCAGCAGCCGCGGUAAUAC
rnacentral:rRNA from 1 species